AGCUCCGAGGUGUGUUACAUAUCAGAUUGCAAAUCUGAAGAAGCAGGUUAACGCCUGCCGGGGCUU
rnacentral:tRNA from 1 species